rnacentral:tRNA from 1 species
GCGGGUGUAGUUCAGUGGUAGAACGACAGCUUCCCAAGCUGUAUGUCGUCGGUUCAAUUCCGAUCACCCGCU